AUUAAUUACAGGUGCAUGGUGGAGGCUUGGGGUCUGCUGCAGGAAGACACCACUAAGUUAAAGGAGGAAGAGCUAUUAAAAGACAUGUAUGACAUCUGUCAGGAGGUGGGACUAGUGGGAGACUUCCUGAAGCUGCCUUUCACAGACUCUGAACAAAAGUGUUUGGAGAAAUUUUUACGGAAUCAUGAAAUUCUUUUAGUCCAGCAUCUGCAGCGUGUCAACUGUAUGGCAGCACUACAGCUGAACCAGGCGAUGAAUGUUAACCUUACAAAUGAUUGUGAUCCUCACUGGAGACAGAGAGCAGUUGCCAGAAAUUCUCUAUCAGGCCAACAUGGCAAGAUCCUUCCUAGAGUUGAGAGGCAUCUGGCUGUAGAGAGAACGAAGCCUUACCAUUUGC